UUCCUCAAAACUAUUAAUCAUUGCCUCCCGAACAGACAUCGACGAGUGUACCCAAGGGAAGGAUGACUGUAGCCCCCUGGCAACAUGCAAGAACUCCGUUGGGAGUUACAGCUGCUCUUGCAACCCACCUUUUGAGGGAGAUGGACGAACCUGUGAGUUCCCAUGCAAAAGCCCGGCCAAGGUCUUCAAGGGUCUGGGAUGCGUGAAGAUGUUGGAGGAAUCGAAGACCUUUGAGGAGAUAAAGGUCACCUGCCAUGAGGCAGGUGGCCAUCUCCUGCAAGACUUUACACAUACAAGUUUACAGGAAGUUGGUGGGGCUUUUCCAUAUUCUGGAUGGAAGGGAUGGAUAGCAGGGAUAGGCGCAUAUGAAAACAAAUGGCUGAAGAGCGGACUCCCUUUAAAAGAGGAGCUUUGGGCGAAAGGUUUCGGGGGAUUAAACCCUUCCAGGAGGCUGGGGCAUUGUGGCGCCGUUGUUUGGGAUCUUUCUUCUUCUUCAGUCAAAGUGAGUCAAAUUGAUUGUUCAGAAAGGUUUUGGGGUUUCUGCCAGUUUGUAACCCCACAGAAGUAGUCAGUCAACUUGAGGCUGAUCUUCUGUGCGAGGAGGAGGAGGCAAAAUAAUAAUAAUAAUAACCCUGAAUCAAUAAUCCUCCCUUCUUUAAUGAAAACAUCUUAGGAUGAUUUCCCUUCUCGUGAAGAUUGUUGUGUGUAGUAGGAGGAGGUCUCUUCCUUCCUUGUUUCCUUGCCGAGGAAGAGAUCCAAAUUAUUAUAUGUUAUAAUAUUCAUUCAUUUAGAUUCUUCAAGUCUUCCUUCCUGGCUGACUUAUUAUUGAUGCUGUUCUUCUGUGUAAACCUCCUCUGAGGAUAUAUUAAUAAUGAUAAUAAUAAUACUUUUGUGCUUUGCAAAGGUUAGUCAUAUAUAAAUGACCAUGAACGUUUACUAUACACUUUGUGAUUAUUAUGGGAAAUGUUUGACAUAACACAGAAUUGCUAUUAUUCUUUUCAAUGUGAUAUUUCAACAAUAUAUCAUGCAUGUUCAUUCAGCAGCA